rnacentral:rRNA from 1 species
AUGGGCGUCGACCGGCGCACGGGUGAGUAACGCGUAUCCAACCUGCCCACCACUUGGGGAUAACCUUGCGAAAGUAAGACUAAUACCCAAUGAUAUCUCUAGAAGACAUCUGAAAGAGAUUAAAGAUUUAUCGGUGAUGGAUGGGGAUGCGUCUGAUUAGCUUGUUGGCGGGGUAACGGCCCACCAAGGCUACGAUCAGUAGGGGUUCUGAGAGGAAGGUCCCCCACAUUGGAACUGAGACACGGUCCAAACUCCUACGGGAGGCAGCAGUGAGGAAUAUUGGUCAAUGGACGAGAGUCUGAACCAGCCAAGUAGCGUGCAGGAUGACGGCCCUAUGGGUUGUAAACUGCUUUUAUAAGGGAAUAAAGUGAGUCUCGUGAGACUUUUUGCAUGUACCUUAUGAAUAAGGACCGGCUAAUUCCGUGCCAGCAGCCGCGGUAAUACGGAAGGUCCGGGCGUUAUCCGGAUUUAUUGGGUUUAAAGGGAGCGUAGGCCGGAGAUUAAGCGUGUUGUGAAAUGUAGAUGCUCAACAUCUGCACUGCAGCGCGAACUGGUUUCCUUGAGUACGCACAAAGUGGGCGGAAUUCGUGGUGUAGCGGUGAAAUGCUUAGAUAUCACGAAGAACUCCGAUUGCGAAGGCAGCUCACUGGAGCGCAACUGACGCUGAAGCUCGAAAGUGCGGGUAUCGAACAGGAUUAGAUACCCUGGUAGUCCGCACGGUAAACGAUGGAUGCCCGCUGUUGGUCUGAAUAGG